rnacentral:rRNA from 1 species
CAGCAGUGAGGAAGGUGGAUAUGUUAAUAGCAUAUUCAUUUGACGUUAGCUGCAGAAGAAGCACCGGCUAACUCCGUGCCAGCAGCCGCGGUAAUACGGAGGGUGCGAGCGUUAAUCGGAAGUUACUGGGCGUAAAGACGCAUGCAGGUGGUUUGUUAAGUCAGAUGUGAAGACCCGGGCGUCAGCCUCGGAAUUGCAUUUGAAACUGGCAAACUAGAGUACUGUAGAGGGGGUAGAAUUUCAGGUGUAGCGGUGAAAUGCGUAGAGAUCUGAAGGAAUACCGGUGGCGAAGGCGGCCCCCUGGACAGAUACUGACACUCAGAUGCGAAAGCGUGGGGAGCAAACAGGAUUAGAUACCCUGGUAG